rnacentral:rRNA from 1 species
UGGGGAAUAUUGCACAAUGGGCGAAAGCCUGAUGCAGCAACGCCGCGUGCGGGAUGACGGCCUUCGGGUUGUAAACCGCUUUCAUCCAUGACGAAGCUUUUUGUGACGGUAGUGGGAGAAGAAGCACCGGCUAACUACGUGCCAGCAGCCGCGGUGAUACGUAGGGUGCGAGCGUUGUCCGGAUUUAUUGGGCGUAAAGAGCUUGUAGGCGGUUUGUCACGUCGGGAGUGAAAACUCAGGGCUUAACCCUGAGCCUGCUUCCGAUACGGGCUGACUUGAGGAAGGUAGGGGAGAAUGGAAUUCCUGGUGGAGCGGUGGAAUGCGCAGAUAUCAGGAGGAACACCAGUGGCGAAGGCGGUUCUCUGGACCUUUCCUGACGCUGAGAAGCGAAAGCGUGGGGAGCAAACA